AUGGCCUCCCCCAACCCCGCCGCGGCCGACGCGUCGGGGCUGCAGAAGAAACUGGAGGCCGCGGCGGGGGGAAGCGAGGGGCCGCCACCCGCGUACGGCGCCGCGGUGGGGGUGGCGGUCGCGGAGCAGGCCCCGCCCAGGAGGCUCGCGCCGGCGCGGAAGGAGCGCGUCUGCACCGCCAAGGACCGCAUCAGCCGCAUGACGCCCUGCGCCGCCGGGAAGCGCAGCUCCAUCUACCGCGGGGUCACCCGGCAUAGAUGGACAGGACGAUAUGAGGCUCACCUUUGGGAUAAAAGCACAUGGAAUCAGAAUCAGAACAAAAAAGGGAAACAAGUAUAUUUGGGCGCAUAUGAUGAUGAAGAGGCUGCGGCAAGAGCCUAUGAUCUUGCUGCAUUGAAAUACUGGGGAGCUGGAACACAGAUAAAUUUUCCUGUCUCCGAUUAUACAAGAGAUGUUGAAGAGAUGCAGAUGAUCUCCAAGGAGGACUAUCUUGUAUCUCUUAGAAGAAAGAGCAGUGCCUUCUCUAGGGGAUUACCAAAAUAUCGUGGGCUUCCCAGGCAGCUCCAUAAUUCCAGAUGGGAUGCUUCUUUGGGACAACUACUUGGCAAUGACUACAUGAACCUCAGUUGUGGAAAGGGCAUUGCACUGGAUGGAAAAUUUGCAGGAAGCUUUGGGUUAGAGAGGAAAAUUGAUUUAACAAAUUACAUUAGGUGGUGGGUACCAAAAAAGACACGGCAAUCAGAUACAUCAAAAGCAGAAGAGGUCGCUGAUGAAAUCCGUGCUAUAGAAGGUUCAGUGCAACUGACUGAACCCUAUAAGCUGCCUUCUCUUGGCCUCGGUUCCCAUUCAAAUCCCUCUUCAGCGGGGCUAUCUGCGUGCAGUAUCUUAUCUCAGUCUGGUGCCUUCAAAAGCUUCUUGGAGAAGUCUACAAAAUUAUCUGAAGAAUGUACAUUUAGCAAAGAAAUAGAUGAAGGAAAGGUUGUCGUGUCAGUACCUACUACUGGACAUCAUACAUCUCCAGUUGACAUUAACAUGAAUGGGUUGCUAGUACAAAGAGCUCCAUACACAUUGGCCCCUGUUAUGCCUACACCAAUGAAAAGUACCUGGAGCCCUGCCGAUCCUUCCGCGGACCAUCUAUUUUGGAGCAACUUCAUCUUGCCAUCGAGUCAACCCGUCACAAUGGCGACAAUAACGACAACAACGUUUGCAAAGAAUGAGGUGAGUUCAAGUGAUCCAUUCAAGAACCAGGAGUAUGAACAUACCAAAUAG
rnacentral:rRNA from 1 species